AACGCUCCCUUGUAGCCAUAUUUACAAAAACAUCUACAAAAAAUUUUAUUCUGGAAUUUUUUAAAUUUCCAAUAAAUUUUUCAUUGUUAUAAAUAUUUUUGAAAAAUCUAUCAUUUCUGUUCAUAGAUAUCUUAUAUUAGUUUAUCCAUUGUAUCAUUUUUUUGUCAUUCAAUAACUAAAAACGAAAAUAUCAUGGGCGUUGUUCACAAUUCAAAUGAAUUGACCUCCGAAAAAAAAAAUAUACGAUUACCACAACAAUUCAACUGAUUACUUCACAGUACAAUUUAUUAAACUCUAUAGUAUAUACUUGAUAAAAAAAAAAAAAAAAUUAAAUUUGAUAACUUGUGGGUCAUCGUUAUUAUUUUUUAUCAUUAUUACCAAGGUUUUAAUACAAGCUCAGUGCUCUAUCAUUUUGAACAUUAAUAACUCUAAAAAACUUUCAGUCUUACAAAAAAAAUCAACACUUGUUCUACAGAUAAUAUAAAAAAAUAUUUCUAUUUUUUUUUUUUAGUUGCACAUAAUAUCUCAAAAUGCGUUUAGUAAUUUGCGAUAAAGUAGAUUACGUAUCUGAGUGGUCAGCUAAAUACGUGAUGAAAAAAAUCCUGGACUUCAAACCCAACGAAAAUAAAUUUUUCGUUCUUGGUCUUCCAACUGGAGGAACACCUCUCGGAAUGUACAAAAAACUAAUUGAGUAUUAUAACGCUGGAAAGGUAUCUUUCAAGUACGUCAAAACAUUCAACAUGGAUGAAUACGUAGAUCUUCCGAGGGAUCAUCCAGAAUCAUACCAUUACUACAUGUAUAAUAAUUUUUUUAAGCACAUUGACAUUGAUCCUCAGAAUGUUCAUAUCUUGGAUGGAAACGCACCUGACCUCAACAAAGAAUGUGAAGAAUAUGAAAAAAAAAUCAGUGAAGCUGAUGGAAUUGAGCUAUUUGUUGGAGGGAUCGGUCCAGAUGGACAUAUUGCAUUUAAUGAGCCCGGUUCAUCACUUGCCUCUAGAACUCGUGUUAAAACCCUAGCUCAGGAUACACUUGAAGCAAACGCAAGAUUCUUCAACAAUGACAUCGAUAAAGUACCUAAACAGGCAUUGACCGUUGGUGUGGGUACUGUUAUGGAUGCCAAAGAAGUUAUGAUAUUGAUAACUGGAUCACACAAAGCAUUUGCUCUCUAUAAAGCUGUUGAAGAAGGCAUCAACCAUAUGUGGACUGUCUCUGCAUUUCAACAGCAUCCAAAAACUUUAUUUAUUUGUGAUGAAGAUGCAACACUCGAGUUACGUGUUAAAACUGUUAAAUAUUUCAAGUUAAUUACUUUUAAAUAUAUAUUAUCAGGCACUUAGUGAGGUGCACAUGAAACUCAUCGAAGAUGAUCACUCAAUAUCACGUCGUAGUGUAAUUGAAUAAUAAGACUGUUCAUCUCCAUCAAUCUCGAAAGAUUUUACAUGAAAUAAAUUUUAUCAACUUCAACUAUUUUACAAUUUUCAUCUUCUUCAUUAAAAACGACUUAUUUACAGGCUGACUUCAUCUUUUUAACAGUU
rnacentral:misc_RNA from 1 species